rnacentral:rRNA from 1 species
UACGUAGGGCGCGAGCGUUGUCCGGAAUUAUUGGGCGUAAAGAGCUCGUAGGUGGCUUGUUGCGUCUGCCGUGAAAGCCCGUGGCUUAACUACGGGUCUGCGGUGGAUACGGGCAGGCUAGAGGCUGGUAGGGGCAAGCGGAAUUCCUGGUGUAGCGGUGAAAUGCGCAGAUAUCAGGAGGAACACCGGUGGCGAAGGCGGCUUGCUGGGCCAGUUCUGACGCUGAGGAGCGAAAGCGUGGGGAGCGAACGGG